UACGUAGGUGGCAAGCGUUGUCCGGAUUUACUGGGCGUAAAGAGCGCGCAGGCGGUCGUUCAAGUCGCGUGUGAAAGCCCCCGGCUCAACUGGGGAGGGUCACGCGAUACUGAUCGACUCGAAGGCAGGAGAGGGAAGUGGAAUUCCCGGUGUAGUGGUGAAAUGCGUAGAUAUCGGGAGGAACACCAGUGGCGAAAGCGAGUCUCUGGACAAUUCCUGACACUGAGGCACGAAAGCUAGGGGAGCAAACAGG
rnacentral:rRNA from 1 species